AAACUUCCACCGAAAAUUGGUUUGAACGAGAUCUAGUAAGUAGUUUUUUUUAUACAACUGAAACUCAAAAAAUUUUUUUUUCAUCAAACCUAUACGUGUGGGGUAUCUACGGAUAGGUCUUCAAAAAUGAUAUUGAGGUUUCUAAUAUCAUUUUUUUCUAAACUGAAUAGUUUGCACGAGAGACACUUCCAAAGUGGUAAAAUGUGUGUCCCCCCCCCCCCCUGUAACUUCUAAAAUAACAGAAUGAUAAAACUAAAAAAAAUAUAUGAUGUACAUUACCGUGUAAACUUCCACCGAAAAUUGGUUUGUACGAGAUCUAGUAAGUAGUUUUUUUUUAAUACGUCAUAAA